CGCAGGGUGCGGGGCUCAGGUC
rnacentral:miRNA from 1 species